GAGCUUUGCGCUGGUCUCUCCCUGCAGACUCAACAACCUCUGUGUUCAUCGAUGUGCCCUUGUCUGCUUCUGAUUCUGGAAGAAAUUUCACUCUCUCCAAAUUCCACCGCUCACCAUUUUGUACUUACCCCAGUGCCAGGGACUUUCCACAAGAGCUUUUGGAAAUCAAAGCCAGAAGAGAGAGUCACAUGCUAUUUUUCACUUUAUGCUCCAUCUCAUUUCUUCCCUGGGGCCACGAGCCCAGGAAGUAGGGCUGAUGAGGAAGGACAAAGGGAGGGGACGCGGGCAAUGGUGUCAGCUGCUAUUUCAGACUUGUUAACCUGACACUUAAAUGAACUACUACUGCUGCGUGGCGAUGCCAGGCCCUUCCCACGCCCUGCCUUCUCUCAUUCACUCAGCCAUUCUUCAGUGACUCUUUUAAGACGUCUUUAUUGAUUGUGCCAGACGCUGUUCUAAGUGAAAUGCGUGAAGCCCGUGGGAAUCAUGGAAGUGACAUUCUGGGAGGAAAUGUUACUUUCUGCUUUUUUACAGGUAGGAAUUCGGGGUGCAGAGAAAGGAGGCUUCAUGGGAUUCAAUGGGGGUGGGUUCCAAACACCACACCCCUGGCCCCCCAGCCUGCUACUUCCUGAGGCAGUCAGGAGAGACCACAGUGGACUGAGUUCCUUUGGAGGGGCCAAUCAAGAGCAGAGCCUGAGCAGACAGAGGAAGGUAGAGCCAUGAUGAAUGAGAUACCUGUACCUGGAGCAGGUGGGUGAUGAGCCAGGAGAUGUCUGAGGCCUGGCCGGGCUCUGACAGUCAGGGCUUUCUACUGACCUCGGGCAGAUGGACUGGGAGUCAGCAGGAUUGAAUGGAAGGAGUGGGGGAAACUGGGUUAAUCCAAGGGCAGUGGUGUGGACAUUAUCAGGCAGCUUCAGGAGGGUUCCCUCAGCAAACUCCUAUUUGGGUUAGACCCUGCCCAGGAGGGACAGCAGGAGACAAUGCAUUCCUCAGGCCUGGAGCUGACCACUCUCAUAUACUGAGAUUCUCCACCUCAGGAGUUUGGAGAGACAAGGAUGUGGACCCUCUCCUCCAGGAUUCUGAUGAGAGGAACUGGGGGCUCUGGACAGAGGUAAGUCCAUAAACAAAGGCAAGGUGCCCUAUACAGGUGUGUGUGUGUGCAGUGUUUCAGGAAACCCAGGGGAGGGGAAGCGAACUCAGCCUAGAAAUGGCAAGACAAAGUCUGGCCCCAGCCAAGCAGAGCGGGAAAGGAGGGCAGGAGACAGAAGGGGCAGGUGUACGGGCUCCGGGGAGGGAGCCGAGAGCCGCAGGAUUGGUGGAUGGGAGGCAGUUCAGCCUGCAGGUAGUGCCCCCCGGGCAGCUGCACACAUCCUCACUUGCUAUUGUGAACCAUGUGACCCAGGGCCCUGUCCCCACCCCAGGAGCCUGGCUUUCUUGCAUCUGCUAUUCUGACUGUUAUUUCCCUCCUGGGCUCCCAGCCUCCUCACCCCCCAUCACACCCUGGCACUGAUCUUCACUCUUACAAGCUGACUUUGAGCACAUUUGCCCCUCCUCGGUGGCUCUUUAACCCUUUGCCGACCACAGCCUCUGGAACUCAGACCCAGAACCCAUGUCUGUGAGAUCGGCGAAGCCAGAUUCUAGCCUGGGGUCUACUGUUUUUCAAAUAGGUCUCCCAAGAGCCCUGCAGUUCCAAGAAGGGACCAUGAAAGGGGGGGACCCACUACAUGGGCGUGGCCUGGGUCCUGUGCCCCCUCCCCUUUUAAUCACGAGAGCUUCAUUUUGAAUCAGCUUCAUGCUCAGUUCUAGGAUUCCAUGCAAGAUGCUGUUUGAAGAUCAACAGAGCCUUCUGCUAGAGGAAAUAACAGCUUGAGACGGCACAGGAGGCAGGAACUGCUUCAGAGCUGAGGAGCCUCUCCAUGCCUUGGUUUAUUCAUCUCUAAAAUGGAACAAUAGUAGAACUUGACUCUUAGGAAGUGUGAGGCCCUGGAUGAGCUACCGUGGGCUGCCCUGAAGGAGGCGUGGCACCAGCAAGAGCAGAAAGAAGAUGGUGGUCAUGGUUUCCAGGUGCUGGGGGCUCGCUCGGGCCUGCACAGGGGAUGUCAUGAUUGAACCCAUGUUUAAUAGUUGCUCUCUGCUAGUGUAUUGGAGAAAGGAUUGGGGCAAGAGUGCUAAGACUAAACACAGAGAAAUUGUCAGAGGAAGUUAUUAUAUCCUUCUAUCUGCAAGAGGGCCAUAAGGCGAAGCAGCUGGAAUUAGAAAAGCUGCAACUAUUAAGGAGAUUUAGAAGGACUUGGUGACCAGAUGGCUGUGGGGAAGCCUCCAAGGAGAGUUGGGGACUCUGGCACCCUGUUUCAGGUGAGCAAAGUCUUAAGUGUCUGGGAGAGAAGGUCUGUGGGAAGCCUAAGGGUCACGAGGUGUCUGCAACUGCUGGGUGCAGGUGGCCAGUGAGGGGCUGUGGACAUGCAGAUCUGGAGGCAGGAGAGGGGACCACAGAUGUAGGUUUAGGGGUUUGUAAUUGAUGCUAAGGAAGAGAAUAAGGAAAGGGUGUUGCUGGGCGUGGUAGUGCACUCCUGUAGUCCCAGCAACUCAGGAGGCUGAGGCAGGAGGAUCUCAAGUUCAAAGCCAGCCUCAGCAAAAGCAAGGUGCUAAGCAACUCCAUGAGAUCUUAUCUCUAAUAAGAAUGCAAAGAGGUGGGCAAGGACUGAGUCCCGCAGAAUGCCAGGGAGGAGCUGGGAAUCUAGAAGCUUCAGAGAGCCGCUGGCAGCCUCAGCUUGCCCCUGUAAUGGCCGCUGCUCAUGGGCUGGCCGUGUUCACAGCAGCCAGCGGCCUGAGGACACAGGCACAGGUGACACGGGCCGACUCUUGCUAGGGCAACUCCUCAGGUGGAGCGCAGGAGCCCGGUCAGCCCUCACAGAACGGGGCUCCCUCAGCCUCCCGGAGUCCAACAGCUGGCGCGGAAGAGUCACUCCUGGCGAGCCAUCUGUGACUCAGUCCCUGAACACAGCCAGAAGAAAAUCUGCAGGGAAGGUGGAGGUGUUAAAUUAAGUAGGUGGCAGACAGUAUUUGACGACACUCCAUCUAAGUGACAGCUUAGCACACACAGCCCAGGUGGGAUGAGCAGGUGGCCAGGGGAGAAUUCAGGUCAGGGGCCCGGGUUUCUGUCUCAGAGUGAGCAGGAGGGAGAGAGCCUACCCCGGCCAGUCCUGUGGCUACUCCCUUCAUGGGGGAGUCUGGUUGCCCUGGUGCUAGGGACUUGGAGGGUGUGCGGCCAAUGUUCCCAGAACUGGGCUGAAUGGAGACGAUGGGGAAAAAAAUAAAACUUCUCUUGCUUCAAUUCCCAAGAUCUUCCAUGUGAAAGGUACUUCUGUUUUUAAAUAAUUUUUUUUCCUUGACUGAGAAAUUUGAGUGAUGAUUGCCUCAACUCUUGGAAAUCUUUCCCACGUCAGUGCCACGCUUUGGACUUGCUUUUAAAUUUAAAGAAGAGUCCAUUGAAAGAAAUCCUCUGAAAAUGUAAUGAUGGGGCACAUCAAGGUCAUUGUCAAGGUCCAUUUUCCUGGUCCACCCUAGGGAGCGCGAGGAACAGACGCAGGAAGAGUGAACGGCGUGUGCCUUGAGCUCUCGUGCUUGGGGAGGACGUACUGGCAAAAACUCUUGGGUUCUUGGCAGCAUGAGAUGGGCCUUUCCGAUGCCCGGGCAGUGUCUCCACCA
rnacentral:lncRNA from 1 species